UGGUGAUAAUGGAAAAAGGGGUACACCUGAUACCAUUCCGAACUCAGAAGUUAAGCCUUCUAUCUAUACGUAUUGUUGGUUUCAAUAUUUCUAGGUGCUUAGAGGCUAUUAAGCUGUCUAGCU
rnacentral:rRNA from 1 species